UACGUAGGGUGCGAGCGUUGUCCGGAAUUACUGGGCGUAAAGAGCUCGUAGGUGGUUUGUCGCGUUGUUCGUGAAAACUCACAGCUUAACUGUGGGCGUGCGGGCGAUACGGGCAGACUGGAGUACUGCAGGGGAGACUGGAAUUCCUGGUGUAGCGGUGAAAUGCGCAGAUAUCAGGAGGAACACCGGUGGCGAAGGCGGCUUGCUGGGCCUUACCUGACGCUGAGGAGCGAAAGCGUGGGGAGCGAACAGG
rnacentral:rRNA from 1 species